UUUCAAUUGAGGCGCUACAGAUGAGGAUUAGAGAACAGCAUUAAGCAAUCAAAAAUACUAGUCAGCAAUAGCAGGUGACAUCAUUCUGGAGCAGCAGACUGUUCUAGAGCAAGAUCUACUGUCGCGAGAGAAGAAAUUUAUUCUGCGAAUAUUCUUACUCUUCUCUGUUCAUCCGUGCACUGAGCAGCUGCAGUCACUCUAC